rnacentral:rRNA from 1 species
GAUGAACGCUGGCGGCGUGCUUAACACAUGCAAGUCGAACGAUUAAAGCUCUCUUCGGAGAGUGUAUAGAGUGGCGAACGGGUGAGUAACACGUGGGCAAUCUGCCCUCUGCUUCGGGAUAACUCAGGGAAACUUGAGCUAAUACCGGAUACUCCGUACUGAUCACAUGGUCGGUUCGGGAAAGCUCCGGCGGCAGAGGAUGAGCCCGCGGCCCAUUAGCUUGUUGGUGAGGUAACGGCUAACCAAGGCGACGAUGAGUAGCCGAGCUGAGAAGCUGAUCGGCCAGACUGGGACGGAGACACGGGCCAGAAUCAUACGGGGGGCAGCAGUGGUGAAUUUUGCGCAAUGGGCGAAAGCCUGACGCAGCAACGCCGCGUGCGGGAUGAAGGCCUUCGGGUUGUAAACCGCUUUCAGCAGGGACGAAACUGACCGUACCUGCAGAAGAAGCCCCGGCUAACUACGUGCCAGCCGCCGCGGUAACAC